GGGCUGCAGUGAGGAAUCUUGCGCAAUGGGGGAAACCCUGACGCAGCAACGCCGCGUGAGUGAGGAAGGUCUUCGGAUCGUAAAGCUCUGUCAGUUGGGAAGAAACGCAUGAGAGCGAAUACCUCUCAUGCUUGACGGUACCAACAGAGGAAGCACCGGCUAACUCCGUGCCAGCAGCCGCGGUAAUACGGAGGGUGCAAGCGUUGUUCGGAAUUAUUGGGCGUAAAGAGCGUGUAGGCGGCCGGAUAUGUCAGAUGUGAAAGCCCUGAGCUCAACUCAGGAAGUGCAUUUGAAACUAUUUGGCUCGAGUAGGGGAGAGGGAAGUGGAAUUCCUGGUGUAGAGGUGAAAUUCGUAGAUAUCAGGAGGAACACCGGUGGCGAAGGCGACUUCCUGGCCCUAUACUGACGCUGAGACGCGAAAGCGUGGGUAGCAAACAGGAUUAGAUACCCCUGUAGUC
rnacentral:rRNA from 1 species